rnacentral:rRNA from 1 species
CGUGAGAUGUUGGGUUAAGUCCCGCAACGAGCGCAACCCUCGCCAUUAGUUGCCAUCAUUCAGUUGGGCACUCUAGUGGGACUGCCGGUGAUAAGCCGGAGGAAGGUGGGGAUGACGUCAAGUCAUCAUGGCCCUUACGGUUUGGGCUACACACGUGCUACAAUGGCGGUGACAGUGGGCAGCCACUCAGUAAUGAGGAGCUAAUCCCCAAAAGCCGUCUCAGUUCGGAUUGAGCUCUGCAACUCGAGCUCA